rnacentral:lncRNA from 1 species
UUUUAUUAAUUUUUCUCAGGCAAUGUUCUCAAUUUCCAGUACAUCAUUCCAUGCUCAAACAUUUCAUCAGUAAAUAUGCAAAAGGGAUCGGUCAAUAUAAUUAGUUAACCAAAUUGUGUCACUAAUAUCAUUUUCACUGGGAUUAACAACGAAUUACAUGUAUGCAUCAAUCUAUAUCUACGAAAUCUAUCCUCACUAAAGGAAGGAAAAAAACAAAAACAAACAAGAAGAGAUUAAAUGCUGUCUCAAAUAAACAUUAUACAAGAUGAAAAAGAAAAAAAAUAAAAAGAAUAAUCUUAGUGGCCGGGGCCUUUUUUGCUAGGCCCAGAAGCUAAUUGAAACAUCAGGCUUCUAACAGAAUCGCCACUGCCACUGUCACUGCUGCUGCUGCUGGAAUUGUUAGAAGAAACAACAAAGGAAGCAACUCCAUCUUUUUGUUGCUGUUGGCAAUCUCCAGUUCUAUUAUUAUUAUUAUUAUUGGUUGUUGAACGAAGAGCUCUGCAAUGGACAACACUCAUCUCCGAACAUAAUAAUACCAAAAUCAUUAAUGGGACUAAAACAAAAGAAAGAGGCUUCAUUGAUGUUGGUGAUGAUGAUCUCACUUUCAUCAUUGACAUCUCAAUUAAUUCGGAAUGGAUCUGUUUAGUUAAUAAUAAGAAUAAUAGAAGUAUAUAGUUUUCUCUCACAAAGGGCAAAUAUAUUAAAUUAACUUGUCAAGAGGUAGCUAGGUGAUGGGUACUGCAAUGGUGGUGUGAUAUAUAUACAGGCAGUAUUGAAGGACGGUGAAGGGUUUUGUUGAAAGUGGGACCCCUUGCAAGAU